AUGGGAGGAGCAGUCGAAGGUGAAGCCAGUGACUGGGGUGAAGUCGUAACAAGGUAGCCGUAUCGGAAGGUGCGGCUGGAUCACCUCCUUU
rnacentral:rRNA from 1 species